GCCUUCGUGGUGUAGUGGUCAGCACACUCGGCCGUAUUCGGGAGGCCCGUGAUUCGAAUCCCGGAGAGGGCA
rnacentral:tRNA from 1 species